GUCUAUGGCCAUACCACCCUGAACGCGCCCGAUCUCGUCUGAUCUCGGAAGCUAAGCAGGGUCGGGCCUGGUUAGUACUUGGAUGGGCAGUCUGGUUCAUGUUAGUCU
rnacentral:rRNA from 1 species